ACUACCUCCCGCUCUCAGCA
rnacentral:snRNA from 1 species